AGUGAACGCUGGCGGUAGGCCUAACACAUGCAAGUCGAACGGCAGCACAGUAAGAGCUUGCUCUUACGGGUGGCGAGUGGCGGACGGGUGAGGAAUACAUCGGAAUCUACUUUUUCGUGGGGGAUAACGUAGGGAAACUUACGCUAAUACCGCAUACGACCUACGGGUGAAAGCAGGGGAUCUUCGGACCUUGCGCGAUUGAAUGAGCCGAUGUCGGAUUAGCUAGUUGGCGGGGUAAAGGCCCACCAAGGCGACGAUCCGUAGCUGGUCUGAGAGGAUGAUCAGCCACACUGAAACUGAGACACGGUCCAGACUCCUACGGGAGGCAGCAGUGGGGAAUAUUGGACAAAGGGCGCAAGCCUGAUCCAGCCAUACCGCGUGGGUGAAGAAGGCCUUCGUGUUGUAAAGCCCUUUUGUUGGGAAAGAAAAGCAGCAGGUUAAUACCCCGCUGUUCUGACGGUACCCAAAGAAUAAGCACCGGCUAACUUCGUG
rnacentral:rRNA from 1 species